CCUGAUGUUCCCUGCUGUGACUUUGUGGUCAGGGGCCAACAUUAAGCCUAAGUCUCCCUAAAUAACCCACCCAGCAUGGCCACAGCUAUAUUGAGGGCAUGGCACAAAACCUGUACAGUCAUGCUGCAAUAGCUGUUGAAGUCUAGUGGCUUAGAUAGACUUUGUAGUCCCUUGCAGGUGCCCCUGCUUCAGUAGGACAAGCACAAGAACUAUGUACCCUACAGCGUGUGCACCAGCUUGCAAAAACUCCCCUCCUAAUGGGUCCAUGAGAAAUGAAAGGGACUCUGAAGCCAGCACAGUCACAGCCUGGAGAAACCAAUGCUGUGGCUGGGCAACAGCACCUUCAGGUGAUACUCAUCCUAUAAUCCACUUUUCCCUGGAGCAGCACUAAUUGCCUGGCUGGAUUUAUCAGCAGACAGAAGGAUGCAUGUGCUGGAAGGAUAAGAGGCCAAGCAGUGAUAAAUGUCACUCUGAUGAGCUUUGCAGCCACUUCAGAUGUGUGAGGGUUUAAAGUCUGGCUGCUUUAUCCCAAGGGUGAUCUUUCUCUUUGGUAUUCACCUGACUCGCCCAGAUCUGAGCCCUGCCCUUUGAGGAAAGAUCAGGUGUUAGCAGGGGACCUGGCUUGGAAGCAAGACAGCUUCAAAGACAAGCUCUGCUCUUCCCUGCUUUCUAUGAGAGCAGGAGAAGCUGUGGGGACUCAAAGGACAGGAGGCUGAGCCAGCUGCGACUGAAUCCACCGGUCUGUUGGGAGGCUGCUGAGGAAUAAACCAGGCUCUGGAAUCCAGGCAGAGGCGAACAGCGAUGAGCAGGGAGGAGAAAGGACCAGGAGUCACGGGGAUGGAUUCCCUCCACCCUGUCAAACACCUUAUCUUGCCAUUUCAUUUUCAAUUAUCUUAUCUGCUCCGCAGUGCAAAUGUUUUCCCUGUGCUGGAUUUCAUACGUAAACAUCUGCAGAUGGCUUAUUGCUUUCUUAACUGAGGGAGACAGGAAAACACAGUAAGCUGCCUGGAAAGGGCAUGCACAUCUUAUUAAAUGUAUUAUUUGCUCUACUGCAAUUAAGAUAAUGGUAUUUUCAUUAUAAAUUGCUAUUUUAGCUUACACUCCAGAGAUAUAAAAAUCUUCCUGAAAAGCGAAGCAUUGAAUAUUACACUAGCACAUAUUGAAAAGGGGCUUUAGUAUUAUCAGCUUUUCCAGUAAAAGCCCAGUAUAGCUUUUAUAGUCCCUUGUUUAUAAGAAUCAGCAUUUAACAUUUCCUUAUUAAAUAUUUAGAGUGAAUGUUUA